UUCACCUGUUGCUUGGCUGCUGCAGUCCGAACAGUCCGCCGGCUCCUCCUUCAUCUCCUGCAGCACCAGCGACUUCUCCUGCUCUCGGCGCCUCCCUCCGAGCCGCCCCCUCCCCUGUAGGUGACGCAGAUGUGCACUGGAGCCUUCAGAGAGGAGAAUCAGAUGCAUACUUCAAUCUUCCUCAGUCAAUGAGCCAUCAAAAGAGUGUUACACCAAGCCCUUCAUGAAUGCAAGUGGAAGAAGAUGAGAGAUGAUUUCCCUAACGCAAUAAGAGACAGCUUGAAUAAUCGUCGAGAAGAGUACAGAAGUCAAACAUUAGCAGUUCUAUUACCGUUCUUUUAUAUCAUUAUUGAGCUAGUAAAAUCUAGUUAUAAGUCAAUAUUAGAGUUUGUAUUCUAGCCUAGACAGUUAUGUAUUUUAAUAGAACAAGAAAUUCAGGACACAAAGCCCUACUUUCAAUGGAAGAAAAAUCACUACUGUGCAUUUUAAAUAUUGAUUUAUGUAAUGACAGCUGAACUGCGAAGUCCCCUGUGCAUUGAUUUUGCUCUCAGUAUUCAGUGAUAAAAAAAUGAUUUAAAAACCCUUUAAAGAGAACAGCAGAGACAGCUCAUUUUUAUCAAAAACUUAACUGUGUAAAUGUGUCCCAUUUGGAAGAUUAGUGAAGGAAAGUGUAAACCAAAAACAAAGCAGAAAAAGCGUUGUCACUUUAGAAACUUGAACGUCACACCUUAUUGUGUCAAAACUAUUUGUGAAGACACCAGUGUUAAAUGUAUGUUCCCCAUAUAGCCUCAACAUGUGGUAACAUGCCAUAAAAGAUUGAAAUAUAAAUGUGCAGUUAGUUUCAGAUAUUUUUCUGUAUUUAACCCUUUUUAAAAAUAUUCUUAAAGUUUGAAAAAAAUCACUCUUGAGCUGAGUAGGAUUGUAUGUCACCAAAUAUGUUACAAAGUUCAGUGACAGGAAUUUGGCAUCUGGUAAUUAAUGUCUAUUUGAUUGUUGUGAUGUAAACAGUUGAUGUGUUUUAAAACAUUACCUUCUCAACUCGACUGUAAUAUUUUUAUAUGGUUAUUACUUUUGGAUACCUCAAUAAAUAU